rnacentral:rRNA from 1 species
UGGGGGAUAUUGCACAAUGGGCGAAAGCCUGAUGCAGCGACGCCGCGUGGGGGAUGAAGGCUUUCGGGUUGUAAACCUCUUUCGCUAUCGAACAAGGCCCGCUUAGGGUGGGUUGAGGGUAGGUGGAGAAGAAGCGCCGGCUAACUACGUGCCAGCAGCCGCGGUAAUACGUAGGGCGCGAGCGUUGUCCGGAAUUAUUGGGCGUAAAGGGCUUGUAGGCGGCUUGCUGCGCCUGCUGUGAAAACGCGGGGCUUAACUUCGCGCGUGCAGUGGGUACGGGCAGGCUUGAGUGUGGUAGGGGUGACUGGAAUGCCAGGUGUAGCGGUGGAAUGCGCAGAUAUCUGGAGGAACACCGAUGGCGAAGGCAGGUCACUGGGCCAUUACUGACGCUGAGGAGCGAAAGCAUGGGUAGCGAACAGG